GACGAACGCUGGCGGCGUGCUUAACACAUGCAAGUCGAACGCUGAAGCUCAGCUUUUGUUGGGUGGAUGAGUGGCGAACGGGUGAGUAACACGUGAGUAACCUGCCUCCUUCUUUGGGAUAACGCCCGGAAACGGGUGCUAAUACUGGAUAUUCACUGGUCUUCGCAUGGGGGCUGGUGGAAAGGGUUUUUCUGGUGGGGGAUGGGCUCGCGGCCUAUCAGCUUGUUGGGGGGGUGAUGGCCUACCCAGGCGUUGACGGGUAGCCGGCCUGAGAGGGUGACCGGUAACAUUGGGACGGAGAUGCGGCCCAGACUACGACGGGAGGCAGAAGUGGGGAAUAUGGCACAAUGGGCGCAAGCGUGAUGCAGCGACGGCGCGUGAGGGAUGGGGGCCGUAGGGUUGUGAACCUCUUUCGCUCAUGGUCAAGCCGCAACAAUGGUUGUGGUGAGGGUAGUGGGUAAAGAAGCGCCGGCUAACUACGUG
rnacentral:rRNA from 1 species